ACGGCAGCACGGGUGCUUGCACCUGGUGGCGAGUGGCGAACGGGUGAGUAAUGUAUCGGAACGUAUCCGGAAGUGGGGGAUAGCCCGGCGAAAGCCGGAUUAAUACCGCAUAUGCCCUGAGGGGGAAAGUGGGGGACCGCAAGGCCUCACGCUUUCGGAGUGGCCGAUAUCGGAUUAGCUAGUAGGUUAGGUAAAGGCUGACCUAGGCGACGAUCCGUAGCGGGUCUGAGAGGAUGAUCCGCCACACUGGGACUGAGACACGGCCCAGACUCCUACGGGAGGCAGCAGUGGGGAAUUUUGGACAAUGGGGGCAACCCUGAUCCAGCCAUGCCGCGUGAGUGAAGAAGGCCUUCGGGUUGUAAAGCUCUUUCGGACGGAAAGAAAUUGCCAUCUCUAACAUAGGUGGUGGAUGACGGUACCGUAAGAAGAAGCACCGGCUAACUACGUGCCAGCAGCCGCGGUAAUACGUAGGGUGCGAGCGUUAAUCGGAAUUACUGGGCGUAAAGCGUGCGCAGGCGGUUUUGUAAGACAGGCGUGAAAUCCCCGGGCUUAACCUGGGAACUGCGCUUGUGACUGCAAGGCUAGAGUGCGGCAGAGGGGGGUAGAAUUCCACGUGUAGCAGUGAAAUGCGUAGAGAUGUGGAGGAAUACCGAUGGCGAAAGGCAGCCCCCUGGGUCGACACUGACGCUCAUGCACGAAAGCGUGGGGAGCAAACAGGAUUAGAUACCCUGUUAGUCCACGCCCCUAAACGAUGUCAACU
rnacentral:rRNA from 1 species